AAUGCCUAGGAAUCUGCCUGGUAGUGGGGGAUAACGUUCGGAAACGGACGCUAAUACCGCAUACGUCCUACGGGAGAAAGCAGGGGACCUUCGGGCCUUGCGCUAUCAGAUGAGCCUAGGUCGGAUUAGCUAGUUGGUGAGGUAAUGGCUCACCAAGGCGACGAUCCGUAACUGGUCUGAGAGGAUGAUCAGUCACACUGGAACUGAGACACGGUCCAGACUCCUACGGGAGGCAGCAGUGGGGAAUAUUGGACAAUGGGCGAAAGCCUGAUCCAGCCAUGCCGCGUGUGUGAAGAAGGUCUUCGGAUUGUAAAGCACUUUAAGUUGGGAGGAAGGGUUGUAGAUUAAUACUCUGCAGUUUUGACGUUACCGACAGAAUAAGCACCGGCUAACUCUGUGCCAGCAGCCGCGGUAAUACAGAGGGUGCAAGCGUUAAUCGGAAUUACUGGGCGUAAAGCGCGCGUAGGUGGUUUGUUAAGUUGGAUGUGAAAUCCCCGGGCUCAACCUGGGAACUGCAUUCAAAACUGACUGACUAGAGUAUGGUAGAGGGUGGUGGAAUUUCCUGUGUAGCGGUGAAAUGCGUAGAUAUAGGAAGG
rnacentral:rRNA from 1 species